CCCGGAAGUAAGGGGAAGAGGGCCAAAA
rnacentral:piRNA from 1 species